GCGGCUGAGCAGUUCGGCGGGAUCGUCGUUGCCGCCCUUCAUGAAGGUGUUGGUCAUGCGCGGCAUCGGCGCGUGCGCAAAACUCUCGCGCCGGCCGUUGCCCGUGGGUUCGACCCCCAUCAGCCGCG
rnacentral:tRNA from 1 species